rnacentral:rRNA from 1 species
CAGCCGCCGCGGGAAUACGUAGGGUGCAAGCGUUAAUCGGAAUUACUGGGCGUAAAGCGUGCGCAGGCGGUUCUAUAAGACAGAUGUGAAAUCCCCGGGCUCAACCUGGGAACUGCAUUUGUGACUGUAGAGCUGGAGUGCGGCAGAGGGGGAUGGAAUUCCGCGUGUAGCAGUGAAAUGCGUAGAUAUGCGGAGGAACACCGAUGGCGAAGGCAAUCCCCUGGGCCUGCACUGACGCUCAUGCACGAAAGCGUGGGGAACAAACAGGAUUAGAUACCCCCGUAGUCCCUGUCUCUUAUAC